AAGUCGUAACAAGGUUUCCGUAGGUGUUAGUGUCUGAAAGUGUCACUAACAUGUGUAAGGAUGAUGCAGUCUGGCGGGAGGUCCUGCGGUCGAACGCCGAAACCGAACCACUGUUAACAAUGGAUAUCUUGGUUCUC
rnacentral:misc_RNA from 1 species